UGUCUUUUUGUAAAUAAUAUAAAGUCUAAUCUGCCCACUGAUUAAAUAAUUAAAGGGCUGCAGUAUAUUGACUGUACAAAGGUAGCAUAAUCAUUAGUCAUUUAAUUGAUGACUUGUAUGAAAGAUUUGAUGAAAUAUAAACUGUCUCUUAUUUAAUUAUAAAAUUUAAUUUUUUUAUUAAAAAGUUAAAAUAUUUUAAAAAGACGAGAAGACCCUAUAGAGUUUAAUAAAUUAUUAAAUUAAGAUUAUAUGUAAAAUAAAUUUGAAAUUAAAUUAUUUAUUUUGUUGGGGUGACAAAAAAAUAUAUAAAACUUUUUUUAUAUAAAAACAUUUAUAAGUGAAUAUAUGAUCCAGUAAUAUUGAUUAUAAGAAAAAAUUACCUUAGGGAUAACAGCGUAAUUUUUUUUUUUAGUACAAAUAAGAAAAAGAGUUUGCGACCUCGAUGUUGGAUUAAGAUAAAAUUUAAAUGUAGAAG
rnacentral:rRNA from 1 species